CAUCCAAUGAUCGAUAUAUUGAACAAUGAUCCAUUGGUGCACUAGCACAAGCUAGGGUCCAAGUCACAUAGCCUGACCACCCGGUUCAGUUAGCAUAUAUUGCUGACGGACUUUCUAACCUCAAAUCACCACGGGGUGACUUGAAAGGGUUGUUGAGGAACUUUCUAAAUGGGUAGACCAGCACAGGCUGCUGGGGACCUAUUCUAACCCGAAAAAUCCCAUAAGGUGACCAGCUGGUGUUUCUUGGGACCUAUUCUAACCCGGAAAUCCCAUAUUGUGGCCCUGUGGCUCACCCUAUGGGAUUUCCGAGUUAGAAUAGGUCCCCUGCUAAAACAACUGGUCACCCUAUGGGAUUUCCGGGUUAGUAUAGGGCCCCAGCAACAUCGAGGUCUCUUAACAGAAGAAAUACGGUAUUCGAUAAACGGUUUGUGUGCCAUGCAUUCAGAUGAUAUUUCAUCUAUAUGUGUACCACAUUUGAUCACUUUGAAAAGAACUUUUGAAUUAUUUGCAAACGUUUUAGUAAAGUAAAUUAAGCAUUA